AGGAAAUAGAUACCCCGGGUAGUCCACGCUGUAAACGGUGAGUGCUGGACGUUGGCGGGUUUACCUGCCGGUGUCGCAGCUAAACGCGUUAAAGCACUCCGCCUGGGGAGUACGGCCGCAAGGUUAAAACUCAAAGGAAUUGACGGGGCCCGCACAAGCGGUGGAGCAUGUGGUUUAAUUCGACGCAACGCGCAGAACCUUACCAGCCCUUGACAUGGGCGGACGGGGUUCCAGAGAUGGACUCUUUCUCGCAAGAGACCGCUACACAGGUGCUGCAUGGCUGUCGUCAGCUCGUGUCGUGA
rnacentral:rRNA from 1 species